UGCCCACUGAUUAAUUGAAUUGAAGGGCUGCAGUAUUUUGACUGUACAAAGGUAGCAUAAUAAAUAGUCAUUUAAUUGAUGACUUGUAUGAAGGAUUGGAUGAAAUGUAAACUGUCUUAAAGGUAAAUUUAAAAUUUAAUUUUUUAGUUAAAAAGCUAAAAUAAAUUAAAAAGACGAGAAGACCCUAUAGAGUUUAAUUAAAUAUUUUAUUUAAGGAAUUUUUUUUUUUAUUAAAUUUAAUUUUAAUUUUGUUGGGGUGAUGAGAAAAUUUAAUUAACUUUUUUUAUAUAAAAAAAAAAUUACAUUGAUAAAUGAUUUUUUUGAUCCAAUUUUAUUGAUUAUAAGAAAAAAUUACCUUAGGGAUAACAGCGUAAUUUUUUUUUUUAGUUCAUAUAAGAAAAAAAGUUUGCGACCUCGAUGUUGGAUUAAGAUAAAAUUUAAAUGUAGAAGUUUAAGAAUUUGA
rnacentral:rRNA from 1 species